CUGACUCACAUCACCACAAGGACAAACCCGAAGAACCUGAGGCCGAGUGAAAGGAGCCAGGCACGAAUCACACACAGCAGGACUCCAUUUCUACGAAAUUUCCAGAGUAGGUAGUUGCGGAGCUCCUCCUGUCCGCUGGGUGCUUUUCACUGUACUGGGAAGAUGGGAAGGUGCAAGACAGGCCAAGUCCUUGCUCCACUCCAAUAAACACAGCCGGUAAACGAACAUGGAGAGGGAUGGAUAAGACCGACAAGGGUAGGAUGGAGCCCUGAUCCAUAUCCCAGGCUGCUUUUGGUAAGCCUGAUGCCUGCGGCUGACUCAGACCAACAAAAUCAGUCUCUGGACAUCCGCCACGUUAAAGUGUCCCAGGUGACCAGGAUAUGUGGCCCGGGUCAAGAAUCUGCGGCUCAGAGAGUAAGGGGUUGGAGAGGAGGGUUUGGGGAUGGCCAGGAAGGUCUCCUUGAGAAGGUGACAUUCGAACAAGGGACUGAAGACAGAGGCAGGAGUAAGUCACAGGAAAGGCCGGCAGCAGAGUAUUCUGGAAGGGCAAGUGCAGAGGGCAAGGUGGGAACCAGCUGGGCUUUCCCUGAGAACAGCAGAGCUGCAUCCCCAGAGGAGAGCGAGCCAAGAGGGAGAGGCAGGAGUGGGGGCAUGGCCCCAUGGAGGAUCCAGGGGUUCUGAUUCAGGAAACAAAAAGAAAAAGGAAAAAAUCUGGCGUCUAUUGUCCAAAAAACGAUUCUCCGGGCAAUUCUGAUGAGCAGCCAGAUUUGAGAACCAGAAGGGAAGGAAAAUGGAUCCUGAGUCAGUGCAGACCUGGAUUCCAAUCCCAGCCCCACCUCUCACUAGCUCUGUGACCUUGGAGACUUCACCGCCUUCAGCCUGUUUCUUCAUCUGUAAAACAGGGAUAAGAAGUGUGGCCCCCCCAACGGGUGGCUGCCAGGAUUCAAUGAGGUAAGACCUGCGAAGCGUACAGCUGGGGGCCUGGAACACGAAUGAAUGAACGAAUGAACGAACAAAUGAAGGAAUAAGGAAUGGACUUUCCUAAGGUUAGUUUGUGAGUAUCUGGCAAAGCCAGAGCUAGAACAAGAUGCCCUCAUCCCAUCAAUCACCCCACCCCUCCAGCCUCUUCCCUGCCUUCUGCACACAUCUGGGUGGUAAGGCUCUCCCCGCAGCCCCCAGCCCGAUGUGGAGCAGGGCCAGACCCUAAUGAGGCCCCGCCUGCCAGUUCUGGUGACCAUGUGGGCCAUUGUGCGAGGGGCGGGCUUCCCUGACGGCCCGUCACUCACUCACCCUCCCUCCCUGGUCAUUAAUCCAGGCAGCCCUGCCAUCAAGGCCAGGUGGCUGCCUCAGCUAGACACGCCCCACGGCCCCCAGAUAACCCCAAAUCCAUCUUAGGGGCAGCCACCUAACACCAAGGAAAGCAGCACACUGGUCUACCUCCCUGUGUCCCCCCCCCCAGCCCCCCAAGUCUCACCAGUGCUCCUCCCUGCCUUUACUUGUGCUGCGCCCCCUCCUGGCACACCAUCUCCCCCCACGGGCCAAAUUCUGCUUAAAGCAACACAUCCCACAGUGACCUCAGGACACCGCCACCCUCCAAAGCUGCCCCAUCUCUUGCCCAGGUGCGCAAACACAAGUGACCGUCGUUCUGGACAUCUCCCUCUCCCUUACAGCCCAUGAACGGUCCAUCAUCGACUCCUAUCGGUUUCAUUGCCUCAGUCUCAC